rnacentral:rRNA from 1 species
UUAAAGUGAAGAGUUUGAUCAUGGCUCAGAUUGAACGCUGGCGGCAGGCCUAACACAUGCAAGUCGAACGGUAACAGGAAGAAGCUUGCUUCUUUGCUGACGAGUGGCGGACGGGUGAGUAAUGUCUGGGAAACUGCCUGAUGGAGGGGGAUAACUACUGGAAACGGUAGCUAAUACCGCAUAACGUCGCAAGACCAAAGAGGGGGACCUUCGGGCCUCUUGCCAUCGGAUGUGCCCAGAUGGGAUUAGCUAGUAGGUGGGGUAACGGCUCACCUAGGCGACGAUCCCUAGCUGGUCUGAGAGGAUGACCAGCCACACUGGAACUGAGACACGGUCCAGACUCCUACGGGAGGCAGCAGUGGGGAAUAUUGCACAAUGGGCGCAAGCCUGAUGCAGCCAUGCCGCGUGUAUGAAGAAGGCCUUCGGGUUGUAAAGUACUUUCAGCGGGGAGGAAGGGAGUAAAGUUAAUACCUUUGCUCAUUGACGUUACCCGCAGAAGAAGCACCGGCUAACUCCGUGCCAGCAGCCGCGGUAAUACGGAGGGUGCAAGCGUUAAUCGGAAUUACUGGGCGUAAAGCGCACGCAGGCGGUUUGUUAAGUCAGAUGUGAAAUCCCCGGGCUCAACCUGGGAACUGCAUCUGAUACUGGCAAGCUUGAGUCUCGUAGAGGGGGGUAGAAUUCCAGGUGUAGCGGUGAAAUGCGUAGAGAUCUGGAGGAAUACCGGUGGCGAAGGCGGCCCCCUGGACGAAGACUGACGCUCAGGUGCGAAAGCGUGGGGAGCAAACAGGAUUAGAUACCCUGGUAGUCCACGCCGUAAACGAUGUCGACUUGGAGGUUGUGCCCUUGAGGCGUGGCUUCCGGAGCUAACGCGUUAAGUCGACCGCCUGGGGAGUACGGCCGCAAGGUUAAAACUCAAAUGAAUUGACGGGGGCCCGCACAAGCGGUGGAGCAUGUGGUUUAAUUCGAUGCAACGCGAAGAACCUUACCUGGUCUUGACAUCCACGGAAGUUUUCAGAGAUGAGAAUGUGCCUUCGGGAACCGUGAGACAGGUGCUGCAUGGCUGUCGUCAGCUCGUGUUGUGAAAUGUUGGGUUAAGUCCCGCAACGAGCGCAACCCUUAUCCUUUGUUGCCAGCGGUCCGGCCGGGAACUCAAAGGAGACUGCCAGUGAUAAACUGGAGGAAGGUGGGGAUGACGUCAAGUCAUCAUGGCCCUUACGACCAGGGCUACACACGUGCUACAAUGGCGCAUACAAAGAGAAGCGACCUCGCGAGAGCAAGCGGACCUCAUAAAGUGCGUCGUAGUCCGGAUUGGAGUCUGCAACUCGACUCCAUGAAGUCGGAAUCGCUAGUAAUCGUGGAUCAGAAUGCCACGGUGAAUACGUUCCCGGGCCUUGUACACACCGCCCGUCACACCAUGGGAGUGGGUUGCAAAAGAAGUAGGUAGCUUAACCUUCGGGAGGGCGCUUACCACUUUGUGAUUCAUGACUGGGGUGAAGUCGUAACAAGGUAACCGUAGGGGAACCUGCGGUUGGAUCACCUCCUUACCUUAAAGAAGC